UACGUAGGGUGCGAGCGUUUAAUCGGAAUUACUGGGCGUAAAGCGUGCGUAGGCGGUCCGCGAAGUCUGAUGUGAAAGCCCCGGGCUCAACCUGGGAACUGCAUUGGAAACUAACGGGCUCGAGUGUGGCAGAGGGGGGUGGAAUUCCACGUGUAGCAGUGAAAUGCGUAGAGAUGUGGAGGAACACCGAUGGCGAAGGCAGCCCCCUGGGCUAACACUGACGCUCAGGCACGAAAGCGUGGGGAGCAAACAGG
rnacentral:rRNA from 1 species